rnacentral:lncRNA from 1 species
GAGUGAAAUAAGUAUUUGGGGUAGAGUAUUUGAGGCGGCCAACGGUACAAGAUGUUGAGCGCUUAUUGGAGAUUGGUCAGCGUCGUGUGUUUCCUAGCAUGCUAGGUAGCAUUGACUGUAUGCAUUGGCACUGGGAAAAAUAUCCUUAUGCAUGGAAGGGUAUGUAUACCUGUGGUGAUCAUGGUGUGCCUACAAUCAUUCUAGAGGCAGUUGCUUCACACGAUCGUUGGAUAUGGCAUGCCUUCUUUGGUGUUGCUGGAUCGAACAACGAUAUCAACGUGCUUAGCCAAUCACAUUUGUUUGUUGAGCAGCUGAGAGGAGAAGCUCCUCGGGUGCAAUAUUCUAUCAAUGGAAGACAAUAUAAUCUUGGUUAUUACCUCGCAGAUGCAUAUAUCCAGAGUGGCCUGUUUUUGUUAAGUCUAUACGUAAACCACAAUGUGAGGAACAUAAACUUUUUGCUGAGAAGCAAGAAGGAGCAAGGAAGGAUGUUGAAUGCGCCUUUGGCAUUUUGCAGUCUCGUUUUUGUAUUUUGCGUCGACCAUUACGUCUCUUUGAGCAAGGGGAUCUUGAUGAUAUCAUGAUUGCUUGUAUAAUUCUCCAUAACAUGAUAAUUGAAGAUGAGAAGGAUAUAGAGCAGACUCCACUUGAUUUGAAUGAGGAAGGCAGCACAUAUACUGUUGAAGAAGCUACAAUCUCUCAUGGAGAAAACCCAGAGGUGGAAGAUGUAAUUAACAGAAAUACCUCCUUACAUGAUCGCGAAGCGUACAAAUACCUCCUUACAUGAUCGUGAAGCGUACAAACAACUUCAGUCUGAUUUGAUAGAUCACAUUUGGCAAAAGUUUGGGAAUUCAUAUAGGCAAAAUAAUUAGGUACAAAUAACUACAAUCAUUUGACUGAUCAUAUUUGCUAAUUUCAAUCUAAUUUGAUUGCUCUAAUAGUAGAUUAGUUUCUCCAUUUUUAUUAUCUUUGUUAUUUUAAAAAAUUCAUUAUUUAUUAUUUUUCUAUACUUGUAGAUGAUGUUGUGCAACCUGAUGGCUUUUGGAGGACUACUUUUGCAACCUGAUGGCUUCUGGAGGACUUAUGAACUACCUGACAUGAUGAAAUGACGAUUUGCAACGCUGGAGGACUUUUGAACUAGCUGUUGUGCAACCUGAUGAGCCACCUUAUUAUUUUACUAUAA